rnacentral:rRNA from 1 species
GACGAACGCUGGCGGCGUGCCUAACACAUGCAAGUUGAGCGACGAACCAGGGCUUGCCCUGGGGCAAAGCAGCGAACGGGUGAGUAACACGUGGGUAACCUACCCCGAUAACCGGGACAACCCGAGGAAACUCGGGCUAAUACCGGAUGUGCUCACUGGACUUCGGUUCAGUGCGUAAAGGAAGCUUCGGCCUCCGUAUCGGGAGGGGCCCGCGGCCCAUUAGUUUGUUGGUGAGGUAACGGCUCACCAAGACCGCGAUGGGUAGCUGGUCUGAGAGGACGAUCAGCCACACUGGGACUGAGACACGGCCCAGACUCCUACGGGAGGCAGCAGUGGGGAAUCUUGCGCAAUGCGCGAAAGCGUGACGCAGCAACGCCGCGUGGGGGAAGAAGGCCUUCGGGUUGUAAACCCCUUUCAGGAGGGACGAAGGUUCGGCGGUGAAUAGCCGUCCGGACUGACGGUACCUCCACAAGAAGCCCCGGCUAACUACGG